rnacentral:misc_RNA from 1 species
UUGAAUAAAAAAAGUUGGAAGGAAGGGGUUGUUGCUGGCGUCAAGCAUGUGCACGCCCUGCUCAUCCACUCUACACCUGUGCACUUACUGUGGGUAUCAGAUCGUGAAGCGUGCUCUUUUACCGGAGCUUGUGAAGCGUGUCUGUGCCUGCGUUUAUCACAAACACUAUAAAGUAUCAGAAUGUGUAUUACGAUGUAACGCAUCUAUAUA